UUUUUUUUUUUUUUUUUUUUUUUUUUUUUUUUUUUACACUCUCAAGAUGAUGACUAAAGAGCAUGAAACUGUGAUUCUGAGUUUCUCCCAGGAUUUUCUAUUUAAACUGCAGGAUGAUAUUAGCUGUUUCAAGAAGUAAUUUAUAAACAGGUUGAAAUCAGGUUGAAACAAUUCAACAGCAGGUGGUUGGGCAAAAAGAUUGCUUCAUUCAGAGUCUUCUGUUUGUGUCCAUGGUCCUCCAGGACUUGAGGGGCGGGGUGGGGUGGCAUGGCAUGCUGGGGAAGAAACACCACACAGAGCCCAAAUGCAGAUAGGACUGCUGGAAAAUGCAAACCAAAUUACUUUACUAUUUGCAAGUGAAAGUGCACCUGUAAUGCUGUAGGAAUACACGGAUAAUGUCAGGUGUGGACUUUUAUUCCCUCAACCGAGCUUGCACAGUUCCCAAAUGUUACUGCCUGAAGUGUGAUUUAGAGCUGGUUGUGCCUGGGUGGAGCUCAGACUGCACUCAGAAGCUGGUACCUGAGGUGCGAAAGGAAAGGAACAGAGCUACAAACCAAAAUUAUACUAUGAAGAGACAAAUGUUCACAAGGUGUUUUCCCUUGAGGACAGAAUCCUUUGUUCUGGGAACUCAGUAAAGGUGUUGACAUCUUGCUAACCUCGAGGUACACUUAGUAAGGAGUGGCUCUGGUGGCCAGUGCUGGUUUGAUGCUAGCUAGAAUACAAUGAGCAUGGCUGGAGGCUCAUACCAGAUACCUAUGGAAACCAUUUAGAUGCUAUAUUUCACUUUGAAACCCCUCAGUCUUUUACCCCAGGCGGGUCUGCAGUGUUGAAGGCAUUAGCCUACAGCAGCCUCCUUUGCCUGGCAAAGUAAUAAAACCAUUGGUGCUCUUAUCCCCAAACUCUGUCUUCAAGUUAUAUUUCAGCUCCAGAGCACAGAAGUCGGAUUUUAACAACACCUCCUGCCCAUAAAAGUCUUUCAUUUUGUACAGCCCCUUAGAAGUCCUUUCUAUCUGCUAGAUGUGAUGCUGCCCAAUUCAUGAUUCAUUC